rnacentral:lncRNA from 1 species
UGCCACAGGGACAGCCUUCCUGCUCCCUGAUUGGGUGUCUCGCUGGCUGUGCACUCACCUGCAGGGCGCAGGGUGUCCCACCUGCAUCCCCCUAUAUGCAUAUUUUAAAAUCAAAGCCGAGUAUUGAUCCUAACUUUACCACUUUCCAGCUCUGUCGCUUUGAGGAAAUUAUUUACUGGCUUGACCCUCAAGUUCAUCUGCUGUAAAAGAAGUCACUAACGCUUGCCUCAGAAGGUUGUUAUGUAUAUAAAACUACGCGGCCCAGACCACACCCACAGCAGCCACUCGGACACUGGUUUUCCCCUCUCUUUCUACACAGCAGGUCAUAAGAAGUGAGGACAACUCAAGGAUGCUGGCUUCCUGGUGGAGGAGGUAUGGUCAGCCAGCUUCCUCACUUUGCUCAUACAGAAAUAUAGGUCGUAUUUAGUCAAAUUUAAGAAGACAACUAGAACAUUAAAUAUAAGGUAUGAGUAUUACUAGACAGUAAAUCAUAUCACA